UACGUAGGGUGCAAACGUUGUUCGGAAUCACUGGGCAUAAAGAGCGCGUAGGCGGUCUGCCAAGUCCCCUGUGAAAGCCCCCGGCUUAACCGGGGAACUGCAUGGGAUACUGUUGGGCUAGAGUGCAGGAGGGGAGAGCGGAAUUCCUGGUGGAGCGGUGAAAUGCGUAGAUAUCAGGAGGAACGCCGGCGGCGAAAGCGACUCUCUGGCCUGUAACUGACGCUGAGGCGCGAAAGCUAGGGGAGCAAACGGG
rnacentral:rRNA from 1 species